AUUGAACGCUGGCGGCAUGCCUUACACAUGCAAGUCGAACGCGAAAGAGGGGGCAACCCCCCGAGUAGAGUGGCGAACGGGUGAGUAAUACAUCGGAACGUGUCCAGUAGCGGGGGAUAACCUCUCGAAAGAGAGGCUAAUACCGCAUACGACCUACGGGUGAAAGAGGGGGAUCGCAAGACCUCUCACUAUUGGAGCGGCCGAUGUCGGAUUAGCUAGUUGGCGGGGUAAAAGCCCACCAAGGCGACGAUCCGUAGCUGGUCUGAGAGGACGACCAGCCACACUGGAACUGAGACACGGUCCAGACUCCUACGGGAGGCAGCAGUGGGGAAUUUUGGACAAUGGGCGCAAGCCUGAUCCAGCCAUGCCGCGUGAGUGAAGAAGGCCUUCGGGUUGUAAAGCUCUUUCGGCGGGGACGAAAAGGUCCGUGUUAACACCAUGGAUCCAUGACGGUACCCGCAGAAGAAGCGCCGGCUAACUACGUGC
rnacentral:rRNA from 1 species